rnacentral:rRNA from 1 species
AGAGUUUGAUCCUGGCUCAGAACGAACGCUGGCGGCGUGGAUUAGGCAUGCAAGUCGAACGCGAAAGAGGGGGCAACCCCUCGAGUAGAGUGGCGAACGGGUGAGUAACGCGUGAGAAACCUGCCUUCGACAGGGGGAUAACACUCCUAACGGGGUGCUAAUACCGCAUGAGACCACGGAGUCGCAUGACUCUGAGGUCAAAGGUGGCCUCUAUUUAUAAGCUACCGGUUGAAGAUGGUCUCGCGUCCCAUUAGCUAGUUGGCGGUGUAAAAGACCACCAAGGCGACGAUGGGUAGCUGGUCUGAGAGGAUGGUCAGCCACACUGGGACUGAGAUACGGCCCAGACUCCUACGGGAGGCAGCAGUCGAGAGGCUUCGGCAAUGGGGGAAACCCUGACCGAGCGACGCCGCGUGAGGGAUGAAGGCCCUUGGGUUGUAAACCUCUUUUGUUCGGGAAGAAGUGCGAUCAGGUGAACAAUCUGGUCGUUUGACGGUACCGGACGAAUAAGCUCCGGCUAACUCCGUGCCAGCAGCCGCGGUAACACGGGGGGAGCAAGCGUUGUUCGGAAUCACUGGGCGUAAAGGGCGUCUAGGCGGUCAGGUAAGUGGGAUGUGAAAUGCCCCGGCUCACCCGGGGACCGGCAUCCCAAACUGUCUGGCUUGAGUACGGGAGAGGAUGUGGGAAUUCCUGGUGUAGCGGUGAAAUGCGUAGAUAUCAGGAGGAACACCGGUGGCGAAGGCGCACAUCUGGCCCGAUACUGACGCUAAAGCGCGAAAGCUAGGGGAGCAAACGGGAUUAGAUACCCUGGUAGUCC